UACGUAGGGUGCAAGCGUUGUCCGGAAUUAUUGGGCGUAAAGAGCUCGUAGGCGGUUUGUCGCGUCUGCUGUAAAAAACCCGAGGCUCAACCUCGGGCCUGCAGUGGGUACGGGCAGACUAGAGUGCGGUAGGGGAGAUUGGAAUUCCUGGUGUAGCGGUGGAAUGCGCAGAUAUCAGGAGGAACACCAAUGGCGAAGGCAGAUCUCUGGGCCGUAACUGACGCUGAGGAGCGAAAGCAUGGGGAGCGAACAGG
rnacentral:rRNA from 1 species